rnacentral:rRNA from 1 species
GAUGAACGCUGGCGGCGUGCCUAAUACAUGCAAGUCGAGCGAACAGAUGAGGAGCUUGCUCCUCUGACGUUAGCGGCGGACGGGUGAGUAACACGUGGAUAACCUACCUAUAAGACUGGGAUAACUUCGGGAAACCGGAGCUAAUACCGGAUCAUAUAUUGAACCGCAUGGUUCAAUAGUGAAAGACGGUUUUGCUGUCACUUAUAGAUGGAUCCGCGCCGCAUUAGCUAGUUGGUAAGGUAACGGCUUACCAAGGCAACGAUGCGUAGCCGACCUGAGAGGGUGAUCGGCCACACUGGAACUGAGACACGGUCCAGACUCCUACGGGAGGCAGCAGUAGGGAAUCUUCCGCAAUGGGCGAAAGCCUGACGGAGCAACGCCGCGUGAGUGAUGAAGGUCUUCGGAUCGUAAAACUCCGUUAUUAGGGAAGAACAAAUGUGUAAGUAACUAUGCACGUCUUGACGGUACCUAAUCAGAAAGCCACGGCUAACUACGUG